rnacentral:rRNA from 1 species
GAGGAGCUUGCUCUUCGAUUCAGCGGCGGACGGGUGAGUAAUGCCUAGGAAUCUGCCUGGUAGUGGGGGACAACGUUUCGAAAGGAACGCUAAUACCGCAUACGUCCUACGGGAGAAAGCAGGGGACCUUCGGGCCUUGCGCUAUCAGAUGAGCCUAGGUCGGAUUAGCUAGUUGGUGAGGUAAUGGCUCACCAAGGCGACGAUCCGUAACUGGUCUGAGAGGAUGAUCAGUCACACUGGAACUGAGACACAAUCCAGACUCAUACGGGAGGCAGCAGUGGGGAAUAUUGGACAAUGGGCGAACGCCUGAUCCAGCCGUGCCGCGAGUGUGACGAAGGUCUUCGGAUUGUAAAGCACUGGAAGGGGGGAGGAAGGUCAUUAACCUAGUGUGUUAGUGUUUUGACGAAACCGAGAGAAUAAGCACCGGUUAACUCUGUGCCAGCAGAAGAGAAAAUACAGAGGGUGCAAGCGUUAAUCGGAAUUACUGGGCGUAAAGCGCGUUUAGUUGGUUUGUUAAGUUGAAUGUGAAAUCCCCGGGCUCAACCUGGCAACUGCAUCCAAAACUGGCAAGCUGG